rnacentral:rRNA from 1 species
GAUCAAUGGCUCAGAUUGAACGCUGGCGGCAGGCCUAACACAUGCAAGUCGAACGGUAACAGGAAGAAGCUUGCUUCUUUGCUGACGAGUGGCGGACGGGUGAGUAAUGUCUGGGAAACUGCCUGAUGGAGGGGGAUAACUACUGGAAACGGUAGCUAAUACCGCAUAACGUCGCAAGACCAAAGAGGGGGACCUUCGGGCCUCUUGCCAUCGGAUGUGCCCAGAUGGGAUUAGCUAGUAGGG